UUAAGUUCAGCGGGUAUCCCUACCUGAUCCGAGGUCAACCUUGAUUGAAAUUUUAACGGCACGGGCCACCCCUCUCGCCAGCGAAUUUGAUGCCACAACGCUGAGAUACGGGUCGUCCAGCCGGUGAAAUUAAGGCGCGGGAGAGCCCCGCCGCCCAAUACCAAGCCGGGGGCUUGAGGGGUGAUAAUGACGCUCGAACA
rnacentral:misc_RNA from 1 species